rnacentral:tRNA from 2 species
UCCCCUGUAGCUCAACUGGCAGAGCUUGCGACUGUUAAUCGCACGGUUGAUGGUUCGAGUCCAUCCGGGGGAGCCA